rnacentral:rRNA from 1 species
UACGAAGGGGGCUAGCGUUGCUCGGAAUUACUGGGCGUAAAGGGAGCGUAGGCGGAUAGUUUAGUCAGAGGUGAAAGCCCAGGGCUCAACCUUGGAAUUGCCUUUGAUACUGGCUAUCUUGAGUGUGGGAGAGGUAUGUGGAACUCCGAGUGUAGAGGUGAAAUUCGUAGAUAUUCGGAAGAACACCAGUGGCGAAGGCGACAUACUGGCCCAUUACUGACGCUGAGGCUCGAAAGCGUGGGGAGCAAAC